rnacentral:rRNA from 1 species
UACAGAGGGUGCAAGCGUUAAUCGGAAUUACUGGGCGUAAAGCGUGCGUAGACGGUUACAUAAGUCGGGUGUGAAAGCCCCGGGCUCAACCUGGGAAUUGCAUUCGAGACUGCGUAGCUAGGGUGCGGAAGAGGGAAGCGGAAUUUCCGGUGUAGCGGUGAAAUGCGUAGAUAUCGGAAGGAACACCGGUGGCGAAGGCGGUUCUCUGGGCCUGUACUGACGCUGAGGAGCGAAAGCGUGGGGAGCGAACAGG